GAAAGAGAGUUAAACAGUACGUGAAAUUGUUGAAAGGGAAACGCUUGAAGUCAGUCGCGUUAGCCGGAACUCAGCCUUGCCUUCCGCUUGGUGUAUUUUCCGGUUGACGGGCCCAUCGAUUUUGGCUGCUGGACAAGGGCUAGCGGAAUGUGGCACCUUCGGGUGUGUUAUAGCCGCUGGUCGCAUACAGUAGUUGGGAUCGGACCGCAGCUUC
rnacentral:rRNA from 1 species